GCAUUUGGGCAUUUAUUUCUAUGGGCAGAGCCUUGCAGGUGCCCAGAGCCCUGUGAGCUGCUGGCACCAUGCUCUGCAGAGGGACACAGAUUCAGCCCAGGACUCCAGGGAUGCAUAUUCCUCUCCUGGAACUUGUAUAUCCGGCCUGAGGAUGAAAACCCCCCGAAGCCCUGAGCAUAACAAGCAUUUCUUGUAUUUCUGCUGUCUCCGUCACAUCGGGCAUGUAGCGAGCGCUCGGGCUGAUAAACAGCAUCUGGUUGGAGUCAGGAGGCGGAGGAAAUUCUUGUACAAAAAUGGAAACGCGCCCCUUCUGCCAAGCUAUGAAUUCUGCUUCCUAUGGAAACCGAGGGGUCCCUGCCUUUGUGCUGGGAUCCUGCACUCGACUCCCAAGUUUAUUUUUAUGCCCAGAUUUGGCAAAGCACUGAGGGCUGAGGGUGGGUCUGAAACACCUACCAGCACCCACAGGCACGUGCUCCAGCAAACACCCCCACACUGGGCUUGUUCCUUACUAUGAGACUUUCUUUUCUUGUCCUUGCCAAGUUAUCCCCUGCUUUAAUUAAUUUUGCACAGCGAGCCUGGGAGCUGCUGGUGGUUUAGAGCCUCUGGAAUAGUCAGGGAAGCAAUUUAAUCAGUGUGAGCGAGCCAAAGUUGCUUAAGCGAUUUGUAAUAAGUUCCAGGCUCUUCCACACCAAAGGGGUUUCAGCUGAGGACAGAAACUUCCUGAGCCUGUUCUGCAGGAUGGGCUCUUCAUCUGCAUCUGACUGACACUUGUGUGGGGAUGUGGAGCAGCCCUGAAUGAGAAUUCAUAGAAUCACUGGGUGUUUGGGGCUGGAAAUGACCUUUAAAGUUCAUUUAGUCCAUGGGCAGGGACAGCUUCGGCUGCAGCAGGGUGCUCAGAGCCCUGUGUAUGUACAAAAGGCCACAGCACUGUCAAAAAGUUAUGAGGGGAAUUUCACCUCCAACCACAAGUAUAAAAUAUUGGUGAGCCUUAGUCUGAAUUUUGACCAAGCCAGUGGUGGUUCUGUUUUUUCAGAAAACAAAAAACCCAAGAAAUUCCCCGGUGACUAAGCAGGCACUGGAAGUUGGUUGCUAUUAAAGUAAAGCUGUGGGUAACAUUUCCUCAGCUUUG